rnacentral:rRNA from 1 species
UACAGAGGUCUCAAGCGUUGUUCGGAUUCAUUGGGCGUAAAGGGUGCGUAGGCGGCGCGGUAAGUCGGGUGUGAAAUCUCGGAGCUUAACUCCGAAACUGCAUUCGAUACUGCCGUGCUUGAGGACUGGAGAGGAGACUGGAAUUUACGGUGUAGCGGUGAAAUGCGUAGAUAUGACAUAGAACACCAAUUGCGAAGGCAGCUCACUAAGCAAAUAUUGACGCUGAGGCACGAAAGCGUGGGGAUCAAACAGG